GAAUGUGGAGCCGUAGCGAAAGCGAGUCUGAAUAGGGCGAAUGAGUAUUUGGUCGUAGACCCGAAACCAGGUGAUCUACCCAUGGUCAGGUUGAAGUUCAGGUAACACUGAAUGGAGGACCGAACCGACUUACGUUGAAAAGUGAGCGGAUGAACUGUGGGUAGCGGAGAAAUUCCAAUCGAACUUGGAGAUAGCUGGUUCUCUCCGAAAUAGCUUUAGGGCUAGCCUCAAGUGAUGAUUAUUGGAGGUAGAGCACUGUUUGGACGAGGGGCCCCUCUCGGGUUACCGAAUUCAGACAAACUCCGAAUGCCAAUCAAUUUAACUUGGGAGUCAGAACGUGGGCGAUAAGGUUCAUGUUCGAAAGGGAAACAGCCCAGACCACCAGCUAAGGUCCCAAAAUAUAUGUUAAGUGGAAAAGGAUGUGGCGUUGCCCAGACAACUAGGAUGUUGGCUUAGAAGCAGCCAUCAUUUAAAGAGUGCGUAAUAGCUCACUAGUCGAGUGACGCUGCGCCGAAAAUGUACCGGGGCUAAACAUAUUACCGAAGCUGUGGAUUGUCCUUCGGACAAUGGUAGGAGAGCGUUCUAAGGGCGUUGAAGCAUGAUCGCAAGGACAUGUGGAGCGCUUAGAAGUGAGAAUGCCGGUGUGAGUAGCGAAAGACGGGUGAGAAUCCCGUCCACCGAUUGACUAAGGUUUCCAGAGGAAGGCUCGUCCGCUCUGGGUUAGUCGGGUCCUAAGCUGAGGCCGAUAGGCGUAGGCGAUGGAUAACAGGUUGAUAUUCCUGUACCACCCACUUUCGUUUUAAGCGAUGGGAGGACGCAGUAGGAUAGGCGAAGCGUGCGAUUGGAUGUACGUUCAAGCAGUAAGGCUGAGUGUUAGGCAAAUCCGGCACUCGUCAGGCUGAGCUGUGAUGAGGAGGGGGAAUUGUUCCCCUGAGUCGCUGAUUUCACACUGCCGAGAAAAGUCUCUAGCUAGAAAAGGGGGUGCCCGUACCGCAAACCGACACAGGUAGUCAAGAUGAGAAUUCUAAGGUGAGCGAGCGAACUCUCGUUAAGGAACUCGGCAAAAUGACCCCGUAACUUCGGGAGAAGGGGUGCUCUCUGGGGUGUACGCUCCGGAGAGCCGCAGUGAAUAGGCCCAAGCGACUGUUUAUCAAAAACACAGGUCUCUGCUAAACCGUAAGGUGAUGUAUAGGGGCUGACGCCUGCCCGGUGCUGGAAGGUUAAGAGGAGUGGUUAGCUUCUGCGAAGCCACGAAUCGAAGCCCCAGUAAACGGCGGCCGUAACUAUAACGGUCCUAAGGUAGCGAAAUUCCUUGUCGGGUAAGUUCCGACCCGCACGAAAGGCGUAACGAUUUGGGCACUGUCUCAACGAGAGACUCGGUGAAAUCAUAGUACCUGUGAAGAUGCAGGUUACCCGCGACAGGACGGAAAGACCCCGUGGAGCUUUACUGUAGCCUGAUAUUGAAAUUCGGCACAGCUUGUACAGGAUAGGUAGGAGCCUUAGAAACGUGAGCGCUAGCUUACGUGGAGGCGUUGGUGGGAUACUACCCUCGCUGUGUUGGAUUUCUAACCCGCACCACUGAUCGUGGUGGGAGACAGUGUCAGGUGGGCAGUUUGACUGGGGCGGUCGCCUCCCAAAAGGUAACGGAGGCGCUCAAAGGUUCCCUCAGAAUGGUUGGAAAUCAUUCAUAGAGUGUAAAGGUAUAAGGGAGCUUGACUGCGAGACCUACAAGUCGAGCAGGGUCGAAAGACGGACUUAGUGAUCCGGUGGUUCCGCAUGGAAGGGCCAUCGCUCAACGGAUAAAAGCUACCCCGGGGAUAACAGGCUUAUCUCCCCCAAGAGUUCACAUCGACGGGGAGGUUUGGCACCUCGAUGUCGGCUCAUCGCAUCCUGGGGCUGUAGUCGGUCCCAAGGGUUGGGCUGUUCGCCCAUUAAAGCGGUACGCGAGCUGGGUUCAGAACGUCGUGAGACAGUUCGGUCCCUAUCCGUCGUGGGCGUAGGAAAUUUGAGAGGAGCUGUCCUUAGUACGAGAGGACCGGGAUGGACAUACCUCUGGUGUACCAGUUGUCGUGCCAACGGCAUCGCUGGGUGGCUAUGUAUGGACGGGAUAAGUGCUGAAAGCAUCUAAGCAUGAAGCCCCCCUCAAGAUGAGAUUUCCCAACUUCGGUUAUAAGAUCCCUCAAAGAUGAUGAGGUGAAUAGGUUCGAGGUGGAAGCGUCGGGACACGUGGCGCUGACGAAUACUAAUGGAUCGGAGACUUAAUCAA
rnacentral:rRNA from 1 species